ACUAGGGGACACUGGGAGAAAUGGGGACACUGAGAGACAUAGGGACAUUGGGAGACACUGAGACACUAGGGGCCCAGUAUCCCCAUGUCUCCCAGCGUCCCCUAGUCUCCCAGUGUCCCCUAGUCUCCCAGUGUCUGUGUCCC